rnacentral:rRNA from 1 species
UACGGGGGGUGCGAGCGUUGUCCGGAUUCAUUGGGCGUAAAGCGCGCGUAGGCGGUUUGGUAAGUCGGAUGUGAAAUCCCGAGGCUCAACCUCGGGACUGCAUCCGAUACUGCCCGACUAGAGGUAGGUAGGGGAGAUCGGAAUUCCUGGUGUAGCGGUGAAAUGCGCAGAUAUCAGGAGGAACACCGGUGGCGAAGGCGGAUCUCUGGGCCUUACCUGACGCUGAGGCGCGAAAGCUAGGGGAGCAAACAGG